AGUGAACGCUGGCGGUAGGCCUAACACCUGCAAGUCGAACGAGUGGCGGACGGGUGAGGAAUACAUCGGCAUCUGCUUUGUCGCGGGGGAUAACGUAGGGAAACUUACGCUAAUACCGCAUACGAUUGCUAGAGCCGAAGUCGGAUUAUCUAGUUGGUGGGGUAAAGGCCCACCAAGGCGACGAUCCGUAGCUGGCCUGAGAGGAUGAUCAGCCACACUGGAACUGAGACACGGUCCAGACGCCUACGGGAGGCAGCAGUGGGGAAUAUGUGACAAGGGGCGCAAGCCUGAUCCAGCCAUGCCGCGUGAGUGAAGAAGGCCUUCGGGUUGUAAAGCCCUUUUGUUGGGAAAGCGUUACCCAAAGAAUAAGCACCGGGUAACUUCGUGCCAGCAGCCGCGGUAAUUC
rnacentral:rRNA from 1 species